CUGUAGGCUGCAACUCGCCUACACGAAGUCGGAAUCGCUAGUAAUCGCGGAUCAGCAUGCCGCGGUGAAUACGUUCCCGGGCCUUGUACACACCGCCCGUCACACCAUGGGAGGUUUGUAACGCCCAAAGUCGGUGGCCUAACCUUUAUGGAGGGAGCCGCCUAAGGCGGGACAGAUGACUGGGGUGAAGUCGUAACAAGGUAUC
rnacentral:rRNA from 1 species